UAUAGGAAUCUGCCUACAAAUGUGGCGGUCAGACCAGGCCCCAAAUAUCUGAUUCUGUUCACCCAGACAUGCUUUAGGUCAGAGUAGCUCACAGGUGUGAGUACGGCUGGUAUAUACUACAUCAUUCUAGAAGCUACGUGGACAGGGCGUUAAAUAACACCGAGUCACAUAAUUAGGACGUUACUCACAUUUUACUUCUCUUUCUGUCUGAUUUUGCCAAGGCACCUAAUAUGCAUCUGACUGCUGAAGACUUCCAGUUCAUGGAGCUAUACAGGAGCAGGCUGGGGCUGACAGGAGUCUGGCAUGACUUGGUCAUACUGAACCUCCGUUGGCUUCUCCCUGCUCAGAAACCAUCUGUUCUAUAAUGUCUUCUAGAAUUGAACUGGGAUAUGAUGUUGUACUACCCGAUCUCUAAUUCCUGGGAGUCAGCCUUGAAUCUUUGUUCUUGCCUGAAAAUGAGCUCAAUUACUCAUCGCCAGUCUCCUGGUGUCUCUCUCACCUACCUACCCUGAAGAUUUCUUCUUUCUUUCUUGAAGUUGAACUUAUAUUUCAUAAUAGGUGCCUCUGUUUAAUCCACCGUUUGAAGUGCUGGAGGAGCAAGGAAGGCCAGAUGAGUUUCUUCCCUUUCAGCCCAUCUUCUGUGUCUCUCUAGAGACAUUAAAAAAAAAAAAAGCCAGCUCUCUGUUUAAAAGCCUCCAAUUUUCUGCAGACUAAAGUUCAGCCGCUCUAAUGUGGCACAUGGAAUUCUUUGUAACACAGCCUGCAUCUUGUAGGGUUUCUUGGUUACAGGCACAGUAACUAUCUCUGAAUGGUGCAAGCCUUAGAAAGCUCAUGGAAUGGAAGGCAUAGCUGAUCAAAGAAGCCUAAGAAAGGACUGGAACCAGCAGACCUCCAAUAAUCCAGAGAAUAGGACUUAAGCGACACUCUCUUCAAGACGCUGUGGCUGGUACAAACCAGCUCCAAGACAUUUCCCUCAGCCCCUCCAUUCAUGAUUUAAAUUCCUAAGAACCACCUCCCACCACCAUUGUGUGGCUUCUUAGAGGAAAUCCCAACCAAGGUGUCCCACGUCCCUUGGGUAAGGAGCAGUGACCUAAGCUCAGCCGGCUUGAUUGCGGAGGGCAGCGCCAUUCUUAAGCCCAUGCAGAAAACAUCCCUGCACUGAGUCAUCCGCCCUAGAAGUCUCCACUCUAGUCCUUCUCCCAUCACGUCUUCCCAGGGGAUAAGGAGGCCACAGGCCAAGGGCACUUGCCCACCUCAACCUGCACCCUCUCUUCUGGACCAUUCUCUUGGUCACAGAGACCCUGGACUUCCCUGCCCAAGUUGGCUCUUCCCUGGAUCUGUCCUCCCGAGGGCACAUGGCACAUGAAAGCCAGAGGGGAUGUAAAGACUGCUGUCCACCCAUUUUCACUGUGCAGGUUAUGAUGUACUCACACACGUACAAAAAGCCACUACAGUGAUGGGCAGAGCUGGGAGUAGGAAGAGAAGUGGGGAACAGGCUGAGGGUAGGGAUCCGGGAGCCAUAAGCCAGGAGCCAGCUCUCCCCAUGCUGCUAUAUUCUGGCAAGAAAAUCUGAGAAGCCAGAGGAUUCCAAAUUUGAACUUGGCCUUCCAGGUCAUUAUGAAGAUAGGAGGAUAGUACAUAUUUUAAAUGACACUUUAAUAGAUUGCUUUAUCACUUUCAAAUCCCUGGGCAUGUGGUAUAUGGCCCUUCAUUUGUACGCUUCCUCUGGGUCCUGCAAGGGUAUAGGCAGGUCGGUCAAAGAGCAUCAGGAUGCUGCUACCCGAGGAAGAGGCCAGUGAUGUCCACGUGCUGUUGAGAUCCCGUGUUCCCACCCCUGUGUCUAGUGACCCAGCGCCCCGUGACUCAGCUGCCCAGGCCCUGAGCAGACCCUGCAAAUGCCGGAGGCUCCCAACUGUCUCCCUGCCUCCACGUUAGCCCCCUGGAGUCCUCUCAGUCAAGCAUCCAGAGGUAUCUUUAAACAUAUAAUGAAUCAAGCCACUUCCCAGUUUAAAAGCCUACGGUGACCGCUCCCCACCCCCACCUACCCCGCCCAGAGGAAAAGUCAAAAUCCUUUCCACAUUUCGCAAAGCUUUGCACGACACCUCCCAGCCUCCAUCCACCGUCUCUCUGUCCUCUUGCUGACCCACUCCAGCCAUGCUGUCCUUCUGGUGGUCGCUGGACACGUCAAGCUCAGCCCUGCAUGGGGUCCUCUGCACCUGCUGUCCUUGUGGCUGGAACAUUCUUCCCUUGGUUGUCCCCAUGGCUAGCUCUUUCAGCUCCUUCAGCUCUCUGUUUAUGCUACUUCCUAGCACAAUCUUCUCUGGUGACCCCAACUAAAAUAGGGGGCCCCGUUCCCACCGCAGCAUCUCCCACCUCCUUUCCCUGCAUUAUUCUCCGCACAGCACUCCCCGUCACACUAUGCGUCUUGAUUGUUUCUUGCAUGUUAUCUAUCUAGACAGACUAGAAGAGAAGCAACGUGCGGGCAGGGACCUUUGUCUGUCUGUUCCCUGCUGUCUCUCCAGCACCUGGAACACUCCUGAGCUCAGAGGUGACACUCCACAAAUGUUUGUUGAGUGAAUAAUGGGAUGAAUGAAUGAAAGCAUACAUGCCAUGCCCCUGAGCCCCUGCAUAUGGUCCCCUCUCUGUCUGGGAUGCCACCAUCAUCUUCUCCUUCAAGGCCUAGCUCAGCAUUACCCUAUCUCUGCGGCACCUCCUCCUCUCCAUCCCACCCCAGCAGCAUUGUUUUUGGUUCCCCCAUCAUGCUUUACACAUACUUCUCUAAUAAUACUCACUACAUUCAAUUAUUGUCUGGUGUUUUUUUUCUUUUAAAAGAUGUACAUAAGCAGUACAUGAAUACAUUCACUUUAUUAAAUAUUCAAACAAUAUAGUAAGUGAAAGAUCUCCUCUAGGCUACUCUCAAAAUCUACCUUUCCUUUCCAGAAGUAAUCUUGUCUGGGAAUUUACAUACACAUACAUGGAUAAAAAAGUAAAGUUUUGUUUUGAGUGUGCAUGUGUGUGCUUUAUUAUACCUAUGUUCUGGCAUUUUCUAUGAUUUGCAUCUUUGACACAGAGUACUUUGUGUGAUUGUCUGUUUUGUACCUGUAUGCAUUUAAAUCACUUUAAAAAAUAAUUUAGCAUUGAAUUAGAUAGAAUGAAGGCAUGAAGAUUUAGUUGGCCAUUCCCCAUCUUAUGGGUAUUUAGAUGGUUCACAUUGCUGCAGCCAUGCCACAGUGAAAGUUCCUACACAGGUCUGUUAGAGCAUAUGUGUUUCUCCAGACUACAUACCUAGAAGGGAAAUAGAGGAUUUGAAAAGUGUGCAGAUUUUAACCUGUCAAUUCACCCUUUAAAAAGCCUGUAAAAAUUAUGCUUCUGUGAAGGUGGGAUAUUUUUAAUAUUUGCCUAUUUGCUGGGAGAAAAUGUCUCAUUCGAGUUUUGUUUUUCAUUUCCCUGAUUAUUGCUGAAGUUUACAUGUUUGUCUAUAUUUAUUAGAAUUUAGUUUCUCUUGUGACUCGUUUUUCCAUCUUCUUGGCCCGUUUUUCUUUUCUCUUGCUGUCACUAUCUUACGUGCCUGUUUGUUUUACUUGACUGUGAGCUCCUUCAGGUGGUCAUCACAUCUUAUUUAUCAAGGUUUCCCCUUCCAGAGCACACAGACAGUGCUUAAUGAAUGUAUAUCCAAUUGCAUUAUUGAAGCCAUAGGCAUUACCCUUUAUCAUGGUUAUCAUCAUUAUCAUCCUCCUCAUCACCGCCAGUACCAUUUAUUUAGUCUCACAGGAUGCUAAGCCCUGUCUCGGGAGGUGUGCGUAUAUAGUCUCUCAUCUUCCUAAUACCUCGCCCAACAAAGUGACUAUUGGUAGCUCUGUUUUACAGAUAAAGCAGUUGAGACUCAUGCAAGUUACACGGGCUGCCCAAGGACACUCAGCCGGAUUAUGAAGGGAGGGAUUAUGGAGCAGAGUCUUUUCAGCCUGGUUCCAAAGUAUGUGCAGUCUCCCUUAGAGCAAUUGGCCUCUUCCUGGCCACGCAUUAGAAUCACCUGAACAGGCUUUUAAAUGAUAGCUAUAUCCAGUCCUACCCCAGGCCAAUUGAUUCAGAAACUCUGGGACUAGGUCUGGGGAAGUGGUGUUAUAAAAAUCCCUACAUGAUUUUGAUGUGCAGAAAUGGUUGAAAACCUUUGGUCUACAUUGGGAGUGAACCAGCUUUUUUUGUAAAGUGCCAGAUAGUAAAUAUUUUAGACUUUGCCUGCCAUACAGUCUCUGUGGCAACUAUCCACCUUUGCUGUUGUAGGGUCAAAACAGCCAAAGACAAAAAUGAACGAACAUGACUGUGUUCCAAUUGAAACCCAUUUACAAAAACAAACGGCAGCCAAAUUUGGUCCAUGGGCUGUAGUUUGUGGACCCCUAGUCUAUAUCAUAAUACUUCGAAGAUCUUGGAAUUUCGGAUUGUCCCAGUCAAACCAGGACAUCUGGUCACAUUAAUUACCUUGCUAAGUCUCAAGGACAGUGGCAUGAGAAUCUUUGCCCCACCUCAACAGAUUCUGCUUCAGUAGGUUGGGGCCUGGGCAUCUGCAUUUCAACAAGGGAUGCAGCUGAUUCUGAUGUAAGCAGACUUCGUGGGUCCUUACUGCAAGAAUCACUGGGCUACCAAAGCAUAAUGUUCUUGGCAAGUAGCGAAAGCUUGGCUGGAGAAGCAGAACUGGUUCUUAUCCAACAAUUCUUUAAGCUCAUGGAUAGACAUUUUGUGCGUCCCUGCCUGCCUUAUGUUCCAGCAUCCUGCCUCCAAGGUUCUGGAACCUUGGGUGCCCCAGCAUCACAUCUUCCCAGUCUGCACGUUGGCAGAGAAGGAAGCCGUCCUGCCUCUUCAUCUCUGAAAUUAGUAGAAGACCAAAGUCCUUGUAUAUUUCAAAAUAUUGAAGAAGAAAGUGACUGUUUAACCACCUACGUGAUAAAACUGAUACUGGCAUUUAUCAGUCUGUGUGUGUGUGUGUGUGUGUGUGUGUUUCAGUAGUUAGAAAAUGGAGCCUCCAUUUUCCCGUCAUCCGCUUUGAAGCUAUGUAGUGGGUGAAUGCCAUCAUUUCUGUUUCCGACCUCUUUAGCAUCCAUUAUUUCUCUGUUGUCCACAUCUAAUAGUCUGGAUCCUUUUAGUUGUUGAUGGCGCAGCGAUUACUGGGGCUGCUGCUUUAGGAUGACUUCCAAAUGCAUCUGAACAGUUGAAUUUAUUUACUGCUUCCCUCCUGAAAGCUUUUUAGCAUGAUCCAGCUGGGGUGGUUUCAUCGGGAAAACCAUUAUUUGCGGCUCUCUUUUUUUGAGGGGUAGAAAUAAAUUUCCCAAAAGGUGAAAGUGGACGCUGUUCAUUGUGGAUCUGCAAUCUUACUUUUUCUUCUCUCUCCUUCUUACAUUCCAUUUGCACAGUUUUUCUCAGGAAUGACUUCUUUCUGGGGAAAUGGAAUGUUCUAAAUGGCACGAUUGAGUCAAAUCAAUGUUUAGAGUGGUUUGGACUUUUAAGCCUUUUGCUGGAUUUUGGCAGUAUCAUUUUAUACUGUAAAACCCCUUUUUUCCCAGGUAACCUAUAAUAUUCAUAUUGAACAUUAUUCACAGCUUUCUA
rnacentral:lncRNA from 1 species